UCUGAUCCCACGCGCAAGGCCACGAGAAAGAAGAGGAGUUGAGGGGGUCGAAGGAAAGAAACUCAUCAAACCGACUGCCUUUUUCUCCCCAACUCCUCGCUGCCUUCCACGACUCACCUACCACCAGAUCGAAUCAGGCAAGAAAAGGGGGAUCGAGGGAAGGAAGAAGAGGAGGAGAUCGGAGGCCGUUCCACCUUGCUGCCGCCCCUGAUCGCUGACCUGCUACUCUCCAACUCCUCGCUGCCUUCCACCACUCAACCACCACCAGAUCGAAGCAGGGGAUUGAGGGGAAUGAGCAGAAGAACCAGAUCGAAGGAGAGAAAGGGACAAGGGGGCACCGGGAGAUUGGUGGAGGCGCCCAAUCCACCGCUUCUCUCCAACGACGACGCCAACCUGCUGCACUUCCUCGUCUUCAACCUCAAGAAACGGAGUUGUGGAUCCUCUCCAACGACCCCUUGCUGAUCCUCUCCAACUUGGCUUCGCUGAUCGUCUUCGUCCCUACUGCUCUCCUUCGCCCACAACAUCUACAGCCCACGAGACAACUCUGAAUCUCUCUUCUCUUACUAUAGUUUUCUGAAUUUUUGCUCUGAAUAUUCUGCAGCUUGUAAUCUGAAUCUCAGUUAACUGUUGAUGUGUUUGUGAGAAAACUAGGUGGUUCAACUUGUAAUAUUGUUCUGCUGCCUGUGAUGUUUGAGAUAGUUCCAUCAUCUACUCUAUGCUACUGAUAAUAUGUUCAGUUCGUACUUGUCAUGUGUUAGUUAGUAUUCUGCUACUGUAUGUGUGAGAUCCCUUGUGUGUUUGUUCUUGCUGAAUUGUUGUUGCACUUGCUGGAUAUUAAGUUAGUUGUUAUACUCCUGUGAGCUGCUGUCUCUUUUAUUGGUUGCUUGAGUUGUGUGUGAUGUCUGAACCAUUUACCGUUGCUGCAUAUUAUUUUUCUUUUACCUUGCUCUAGUAAUUGCUUGUUGUCAUUACUGUUUGAUUCAUCUGUCCGGUUGUUCUGAAUGUUUCGAGUGUGUGCUUCGAAGUUCUAGAUCCCUAUGGAGAAGACGACAUCCGUAGUUUGGGCGUAAAAAGCCUCCUAUAUUACAAAUGAUCAUUUUGGCGCCGUUGUCGGGGAUUUAAAUUUCAUUAGCACAUUAGUAGAAGCAGAUCAGAAUUUAUUUUAGGUCGAUUAUGUAGUAUUGCUGGCAACUAACAAUUUCCUAACAUUGGCUGCAGUUUUGAGAGAAACUAGCAUGUGUCAAUUUCAGGAACUUUUACAGGAAAUUGUCUUAUGCUUCAUCCUAAAUAUUCACUAGAGCCAUUUGAUCCAGAAAUUGAAAGGACUUUAUUGAGAAGAAGAAGAGAGAAUCAAACACGGUUUGAAGUUGCUGAAUCUUUGCAAGAUCAAGAAGAAGAAAAGAUGUCUGAUCAAGUACCUUUGCUCAGGGACUUGUGGAUCCCAAGAGAUCAUGGGAUACCAGGAGAAAUGGUGCAACCAAUUAUUCAGGCGAACAAUUUUGAAUUGAAGCCUGCUCUGAUUAACAUGGUACAACAGUCCAGAUUUGGUGGAACAGCUUUAGAAGACCCACAUGAGCAUAUAAGGACUUUCUUGGAGUAUUGUAACACCCUCAAGCAAAAUGGAGUUUCACCGAGUGCUAUCAGACUAUCACUAUUUCCAUUUUCCUUGAGAGAUGGAGCAAGAGUAUGGCUUCAUUCAUUGCCUGAACAUCUGAAGGAUACUUGGGAGACUUUAUUGUAGACAUUUCUUGAGAGAUACUUUCCACCAACAAAAGCUGCUGAAUACAGGGACAAGUUAACAAGGUUUACUCAAUAUGAUGGAGAGAGUUUGUAUGACGCAUGGCAAAGAUUCAACUCUUUAAUUAGAAUGUGUCCUCAUCAUGGUUUAGAAAGAUGGCUGGUGUUACAAACCUUUUACAAAGGACUGUCCACUCAGACCAGAGCUUUUGUCGAUUCGGCUGUUGGAGGAGGAAUCAUGAACAAAACCAUUGAUGAAGCAUUUGCAUUGAUUGAAAGUAUGGCGUCUCAUCAUUUCCAAUGGUCAAGCGAAAGAGCAAUAGCACCACCCCAUCCUGGUGUGUACAAUGUGUCUGCAAAUGAUAGCAUGGCGGCUCAGAUUGACAUCUUAAACAAGAAGAUGGACAGUAUCAUGUCAAAUUGCAUCGGUACAUCUGUAGCUUCAGUAAGUGUGCCUCAAAUGUGUGAUGUAUGUGGCCAAGCAGGUCAUCUUUCAACAGAAUGUACCUUCUAUUCAGCAAUUGGAUCAUCGGUUUUAGAAGUAAGUUAUGCCCAAAGUCAAGGUCCAUUCUCAAACAACUACAAUCCUUCUUGGAGGAACCAUCCAAACUUGUCGUACAAGAACAAUCAGUCAUAUGCAAGUGGAUCGACAGUACAAGGAAAUCGACCACCAAAUCAUCCAAGUCAAUUUCAAGUGCCGAGGCAGAAUGAACAACAAAAUGUUCAGUCAAAUGGAAUGGAGGAAAUCAUGAAAAUGCAGUUGGAAUUGAUGAGCAAGAUGACAAAUGAAGUUAAUGGAUUAAAGGAUACUGUUAAGAUGCUUGUGAGCAAAAUGGAUAGUAUGGUGGGAGAAAAUGAAAAAAGGCUGCCUGCGCAACCAAUUCCAAACCCGAAAGCUCACUGUGGGGCAAUAUCUUCAAUUAAUGCAGUGACUACAAGGAGUGGAGUUAUGUCAGGACCAUUACUUCCUACUCCGAAGACAUAUGUCCCUCCUGCUAUGAGGCCAAGUUCAUCCGGAACUCCACCUUCAACAUCAUCAGAGAAACUAAAGGAGAAAGAAAUUGAUAACCGAAUUGAAACUGAAGUCGAAUUUCCUGGUUUUCAAACAAGAGCUGAGCCUUUGCUAGAGGAAGCAAUAACAACCAACAACAUUCCUUUUUCUGAGCGGUUCAACAAACCCAAAGAUGACAAGCAAUUUGCCAAAUUCUUGGAAACUAUGAAGGGAGUUCAGAUUACUAUUCCUAUUCUUGAAGCUGUCUUGCAUGUUCCAAUGUAUGCCAAAUAUUUCAAGGAACUGCUAACAAGGAAAAGAAGCAUGUCUGAGCCAGAAGUAGUGACUUUAUCAAAGGAAUGCAGUGCAAUAAUUCAGAAUUCCAUGCAUGAAAAAUUGGAUGAUCCAGGAAGCUUUUGUGUACCAUGUGUGAUUGGAAACAAAACUUAUAGUGCUCUGUGUGACUUGGUCUCAAGUGUUAGUGUGUUACCACAUUCAGUUAGCAAAAGGAUGAUCUUGGGAGAAUUAAAUCCAACAGCCAUAACUCUUCAGUUAGCCAACAGAACAUAUAGGAAACCUGUUGGAAUUCUUGAGGAUGUUCCAAUCAAAGUUGGGAAGUUUGCUUAUCCGGUUGACUUUGUAGUGCUAGAUAUAGAGGACAAAAGUGAGGCUGUGAUCCUUGGAAGGCCAUUUUUGGCCAUAGCUGGUGCACUUAUUGAUGUUCAAGAAGCUAAAUUGAGCCUGAGGUUUGGAAAUGAAAAGGUGGAGUUUGACAUGAAGCAUGCAACACAUGUUCCGCAAGGAGAAAAGCACUGCUACAAAAUUAAUACACUACAGAAAUGUGUGGAAGAAGGUUAUGAAGAGAGGUAUGGAAGUAAUUGUUGUGAAGUAGUUGAGGAGGACAAUAGUGAAAUCAGAUAUGAAGAAAUCAGACCUGUGAGCAUAUUGGAAAGCAGUACAAGGCCACUAGAGAAGAUGCAAUCAAGGCAAAUAGAAAUGAAACAACUUCCAGAAAGUUUGAAGUAUGCAUUCUUAGACAAUGACAACCAGUGGCCAAUUAUCAUGAAUAGGGAGUUGAUGGAAAGGCAAAUAAAAGGGCUUCAAGCAGUUUUGCAAAAGUAUAAGGAUGUUAUUGGAUAUUCAAUUGAUGAUAUGAAAGGGAUAAAUCCUGCUGUCUGCUCUCAUAGGAUUUACUUGAAAGAAAGCAGUGUACCAAUUAGAGAAAGUCAAAGAAGGUUGAAUCCCCAUUUGCAAGAGGUUGUAAAAAAGGAGAUUCUUAAAUUGCUCUCUGCUGAUAUCAUAUACCCAAUUUCGGACAGCGAGUGGGUGAGUCCCAUUCACAUGGUUCCCAAGAAAGGAGGAAUAACUGUCAUUGAAAAUGAACAAGGGCAAACGAUUCCUAGUAGGACUGUCACAGGGUGGAGAAUGGUCAAUGAUUUCAGAAAGUUAAAUGAAGUAACAAGGAAGGACCAUUUUCCUUUACCUUUCAUUGACCAAAUGCUGGAAAGGCUUGCUGGGCAUGAAUAUUUCUGCUGCUUAGAUGGGUAUUCAGGAUUCUUGCAAAUCCCAAUUCAUCCGGAUGAUCAAGAUAAAACAACUUUCACUUGCCCAUACGGAACAUUUGCUUACAAAAGACUAGCUUAUGGACUUUGUAAUGCACCCCCAACAUUUCAAAGGUUUAUGCUCUCUAUAUUCUUUGAUAUGAUAGGAACCAAAGUGGAGGUGUUCAUAGAUGAUAUUACAGUCGUUGGAAAAAGUUAUGAGGAUUGCUUGAAUAAUUUGGCAGCAGUUCCUCAGAGGUGUUCAGAACACAAUCUAGUCUUAAACUGGGAGAAGUGUCAGUUUCUUGUAAAGGAAGGAAUUAUUUUGGGACAUUUGGUAUCUGAAAGAGGAAUUGAGGUUGAUUAAGCAAAAGUUGAAGUAAUAUCAAAACUUCCACCACCUGUAAAUGUGAAGGGAGUAAGGAGCUUUUUGGGACAUGCUGGGUUCUAUAGAAGAUUCAUAAGGGAUUUCUCCAAGAUAGCCAAACCCCUCACUAAUCUCCUAGACAAUGAUGUUAAGUUCAACUUUGAUGCAGAAUGUGAAAAAUCCUUCAACUUGCUCAAGAAAGCAUUGGUCACUGCUCCAGUAGUGCAACCCCCUGACUGGGAAUUACCAUUUGAGAUAAUGUGUGAUGCAAGUGACUUUGCUGUGGGUGCAGUACUGGGACAAAGAAAAGGAAAAGAUUUGCAUGUAAUAUACUAUGCUAGCAAAACUCUUGAUGGUGCUCAAGCUAAUUACACAACCACAGAAAAGGAGUUGUUGGCAGUAGUGUAUGCCUUUGUCAAAUUCAGGCAAUAUCUUGUAGGGUCUCAUUGUGUAGUUUACACAGACCACGCUGCAAUUAGAUAUCUACUCAGCAAGAAAGAAGCCAAGCCAAGGUUAAUUAGAUGGAUACUCUUGCUUCAAGAAUUUGAUGUGGAAAUCAAGGACAAGAAAGGAGCUGAAAAUGUUGUGGCAGAUCACUUGUCGAGGUUGCAAAACAAUGCAGUAGACUCCUUACCUAUCAAUGAUGUGUUACUAGGGAGCAAUCUUAUGCAAGUGACUAGUAUACAAAACUAUACACCAUGGUAUGCAGAUAUAGUUAAUUAUCUGGUCUGUAACAAAGUCCCUACAGAUUUUGGGUAUCAAAAGAAGAAGAAAUUCUUAUCAGAUAUGAAGCACUUCUUUUGGGAUGAACCUUACUUAUUCAAACAUUGUGCUGAUGGUAUUGUUCGAAGAUGCUUGCCGAAAGGUGAAGCUAAAGGUGUGAUCUAUCAUUGCCAUUCAUCCCUUUAUGGAGGUCAUGCAAGUACUAGGAAGACUCAAGCAAAAAAAUUGCAAGCGGGAUUUUACUGGCCAACUUUAUUCAAGGAUGUACAUUCCUAUAUUGAAGCUUGUGAUCCUUGUCAGAGAACUGGAAAGAUUUCAAAAAGGCAAGAGAUGCCUCAAAAAGGAAUUCUUGAAGUAGAGCUCUUUGAUGUAUGGGGAAUUGAUUAUGUUGGACCCUUGCCAUCAUCAAAAGGGUACAAAUACAUAUUGGUGGCAGUGGACUAUGUGUCAAAAUGGGUUGAGGCUGUACCAACCGUCAAUGCUAAUUCCAAGUCAGUUUGCAAUUUGUUCAAGCAAGUGAUCUUUCCAAGAUUUGGUGUGCCACAGAUUGUUAUCAGUGAUGGAGGAACACAUUUCAACAACUCCCAACUAGAAUCUCUCUUAGCAAAAUAUGGAGUUCAUAAUCACAGAAUUACAACUCCAUAUCACCCGCAAGCAAAUGGACAAGUGGAGUUGUCUAAUAGAGAAAUAAAGGCCAUUCUCGAGAAGGUAGUAUCAAAGUCAAGGUCUGACUGGGUACUGAAAUUACCAGACACACUAUGGGCAUAUAGGACAGCCUAUAAAACACCAAUAGGAAUGUCACCAUUCAGGUUAAUAUAUGGAAAAGCAUGCCAUCUACCCGUUGAACUUGAACACAAAGCUCAAUGGGCACUAAGGAAACUCAAUAUGGACCUUGAUGCAGCAGGAAAAUACAGAAAACUUCAACUCUGUGAAAUGGAAGAACUGAGAGUUGACUCUUACGAGAGUGCAAGAAUUUACAAAGAAAAGACCAAGAUCUGGCAUGACAAGCAUAUAUUGAGGAAACAAUUUCAUCUUGGACAGUUGGUACUGGUCUAUGAUACUAGGUUUCAUUUAUUUCCUGGUAAAUUCGAGUCAAGAUGGUAUGGCCCUUGCAAGGUGAAGAAGAUUCUGCAAAGUGGUGCUAUUCAAGUGCAAAGUACUUCUGGAGGUCUCUUCCUUGUAAAUGGUCAAAGAUUGAAGCCCUACAUCCCUGGAGAUCCACUUCUUAUUUCUGAAGAUGAAAUGCAAGCGAAGAUCAAGACCCAGAGGAGGAAAUUCAAGAAGGCAAGGGGACCCAAGAGGUGUCAAUCCCUGCAGGACCCUGACCUCACUGACGAGACAUGGUCGAGCUAAAGACCUAAAACAAGCGCUUUUCAGGAGGCAACCUGAAUCUUUAAUAAGUUAUUUUCCUUAUUUAGUUUUCAUAGAAAAGUUUUUGUGUUUAUGUCUUUCUUUUUCAGCAAAUAAAGGCGAGGGGAGCACAAACAGGGAACACAAACAGAGAAGAGUGGAGAGAAGAAAGUAGGAGAGAAGAGUAUACAAAUACCAGGUGAUUCUGUUCCACUUGAAGCAACCUUUAGAAAAUUUAGUACGAGAACUGGCAUUUAAUUGCAUUGAAACUCUUUUUGCAUUGUGACACCUUACUCUUCACUGCAAAGUAGGAUUCACUCCUAGAAGAUUGUUGAUUCUCUUAAUACUAAAACUAUGCAGCUGUAUUCUUCUCAUGGUAAUUUGUGAUUAUGAAUACUUUAUACCUCCAUGUAAAUGUUCAAUGGGAAUGCCUUGAGUCUAAGUGAAACCUACUAAUGAAUUGAUGUGAUGUGUCUGACUGUCCCAAGUUAAGCUAAGUAACUGGUGGCACUUAAGUAGUAGCUAUGAUCUCUGGAUCUGUAGUCUGUGAAAAACAGUGCCAUUAGCUAUGGAUUCCUCUUUCAAUUAUUCCUGUUUUACUUAAGCUACGUAAUUUUCAUAUAACUAAAUAAAAUAAUUAUAAUAAUUUAAGUCCGAUCGACCUACAGUAGCAUGUCAUGUUCCCUGGAUCGGUGGCUUGUGAAUUUGGUAGAUUGGACUGUAAAAAAAGAAUUUAUAUAAAAAAAUGCUAUUAUUGUCGAACCAGGUGUAUACCAUGUUCUCUGGAUUGGUGGUAUGUUCCUUUGAGGAGAUAAUAACAAAAAAAAUAUACUAAUAAUUUGUCGAACCAGGUGUAUACCAUGUUCUCGGGAUCGGUGGUAUGUUCCUUUGGGGAGACAAUAAAAAAAUACUAAUAAUUUGGUCGAGCCAGGUGUAUACCAUGUUCUCGGGAUCGGUGGUAUGUUCCUUUGGUGAGAUUGAUAUAAUAUCAUCACUUGUGCCUUAAAUUCCAUAAGUAACUUGUCUUAUAAAUUGAUUUUGGGGUCCCAGCUUAUCUUAGGACUGAAGACACAGCCAACUCUUGAUUAUUCGGAUUCACUUUCACUCAAGGUCAUUGACAUGGAACAUUUACAGUGUGUUAUAAAUUAUUGCUUAUCACAAUUUAGCAUGAGUAGAGUAUAGUUGCCUAGUUCUAGUAUUGUCGGAAUUACUAUCUAUCCAAAAGUGCAUCUUUACUAGGCAGUGUGGGUAGUGUCAGCAUCAUUUUUCUUUACUUGAGGACAAGCAAAGAUCUAGGUGUGGGCGAAAUUGAUAGCACUUUCAUUCAUAUUGUAUUUCAAGCCUUUUUGCAUAACAAAUCAAACCUUGGACCACAAUUUUUACUUAUAAAGUAUUCAUUCUUAUUGAAAUAUUCUUAUUAUGAUAUUUUUACAACACUUAUUCAUAUCUUGCAGGACUGGUGCGUUUAGGCACCUAAACUUCAUCGAAAGUGUUUAUAACCUUCAAGCUGGGGAUCAUCUUGUGUGAAAAGUUAGAACUAGAAGGGGCGAGCUGAAAAGAACCUACGCGCCUAGUCAGACAAAGAAGAGCAGAUGUCUGCUUGGGCGCGUGAGAAGGGGCUGGUCUGGCGCGACCAGCGAGAGGCAUAUCUGAUCCCACGCGUGAGGCCACGAGAAAGAAGAGGAGUUGAGGGGGUCGAAGGAAAGAAAAUCAUCAAACCGACUGCCUUUUUCUCCCCAACUCCUUGCUGCCUUCCACGACUCACCUACCACCAGAUCGAAUCAGGCAAGAAAAGGGUGAUCGAGGGAAGGAAGAAGAAGAGGAGAUCAGAGGCCAUUCCACCUUGCUGCCGCCCCUGAUCGCCGACCUGCUGCUCUCCAACUCCUCGCUGCCUUCCACCACUCAACCACCACCAGAUCGAAGCAGGGGAUUGAGGGGAACGAGGAGAAGAACCAGAUCGAAGGAGAGAAAGGGAGAAGAGGGCGCCGGGAGAUUGGUGGAGGCGCCCGAUCCACCGCCUCUCUCCAACGACGAUGCCAACCUGCUGCACUUCCUCGUCUUCAACCUCAAGAAACGGAGCUGUGGAUCCUCUCCAACGACCCCUUGCUGAUCCUCUCCAACUUGGCUUCGCUGAUCGUCUUUGUCCCUGCUGCUCUCCUUCGCCCACAACAUCUACAGCGCAGGAGACAACUAUGAAUCUCUCUUCUCUUAAUGUAGUUUUCUGAAUUUUUGCUCUGAAUAUUCUACAGCUUGUAAUCUGAAUCUCAGUUAACUAUUGAUGUGUUCGUGAGAAAACUAGGUGGUUCAACUUGUAAUAUUGUUCUGCUGCUUGAUGUUUGAGAUAGUUCCAUCAUCUACUCUAUGCUACUGAUAAUAUGUUCAGUUCGUACUUGUCAUGUGUUAGUUAGUAUUCUGCUACUGUAUGUGUGAGAUCCCAUAUGUGUUUGUUCUUGCUGAAUUGUUGUUGCACUUGCUGGAUAUUAAGUUAGUUGUUAUACCCAUGUGAGCUGGUGUCUCUUUUAUUGGUUGCUUGAGUUGUGUGUGAUGUCUGAACCAUUUACCUUUGCUGCAUAUUAUUUUUGUUUUACCUUGCUCUAGUAAUUGCUUGUUGUCACUACUGUUUGAUUCAUCUGUCCG
rnacentral:lncRNA from 1 species